UCCCUCCCUCCCUCCCUUUCUCUGCGUGUUAAUUCAGAUUCCCGAACGCCCGUGUGCGCAGUUACCCUCCAGCCCUGUCCAAACGACUUUUUUUCACGGGCUUGGGCAUUGCGCCGUUAAGAAAGCAUCUUGCGUGAGAUUGUUGCGCUCUGGUAAAUCUCACAGCCGGGGAGACGGCAACGCUGAGGAUCGGCAUUUGUAUGCGAUUCGCCGUCUAGGCCCGGGCCUGCUGCUUUGUGUGUGUUUGGCACUUUCUGGCUCAAUAAAAAGGCUGGAUGAGACUUGAGGAGGAGGGAAGGACACAUCCGACAUCCCAAAUCUCCACGGCGCUGUCGCCGGUGACUGAAACAGGCGGUACCUUUCAAAGCGUCGACUCGCUGUUCUGAAUUUCAAAAACCUGGCGACGGCGUCCAGAUUUCCUGCUUCUGAACGCGUUUCGGAAGUUUCCACAACCGCUUAGCAGCAGAUUGUCUGGAGAAUACGCCAAUACGAAAGGGUAAUAUCACUCAGGCUUCUCUUUCUUACCGCAGGUUAUAAUUUGUAAAAUGGUGGUGGGAGAAACAGCUGUGUUUUUCAAGAGCUGCUGUGCCUUUCAUGUGGCGAACACAGAACAGGUGGAUGGCAUUCCACGUCCAGGUGGACAAUGAAG